rnacentral:rRNA from 1 species
AGGGUGUAAACGCCGCAGACUUGGUGUUGGAAGUCCUUUGGGGGCAUUCAGUGCCGGAGAGAAGUUGUUAAGUCUGCUACUUGGGGAGUACGUCCGCAAGGAUGAAACUUAAAGGAAUUGGCGGGGGAGCACCGCAACGGGAGGAGCGUGCGGUUUAAUUGGAUUCAACACCGUAAAACUCACCAGGGAAGACUGUUACAUGAAAGCCGAGAUGAAGACUCUGCUAGAUUUUUCAGAGAGGAGGUGCAUGGCGUCAGUGACU